UGGGGAAUAUUGGACAAUGGGCGCAAGCCUGAUCCAGCAAUGCCGCGUGCAGGAUGAAGGCCUUCGGGUUGUAAACUGCUUUUGUACGGAACGAAAAGCUUCUGGUUAAUACCUGGGAGUCAUGACGGUACCGUAAGAAUAAGCACCGGCUAACUACGUGCCAGCAGCCGCGGUAAUACGUAGGGUGCGAGCGUUAAUCGGAAUUACUGGGCGUAAAGCGUGCGCAGGCGGUUUUGUAAGACAGAGGUGAAAUCCCCGGGCUCAACCUGGGAAUUGCCUUUGUGACUGCAAGGCUUGAGUGCGGCAGAGGGGGAUGGAAUUACGCGUGUAGCAGUGAAAUGCGGAGAUAUGCGGAGGAACACCGAUGGCGAAGGCAAUCCCCUGGGCCUGAACUGACGCUGAUGCACGAAAGCAUGGGGAGCAAACA
rnacentral:rRNA from 1 species